AAAAACGGGAAGCAGGAAAAUACUAAGCGAAAAUGUAAGUGAGAAAAUCGGUAAGUGAGCGGUAAGCGAGGGGAAAAUGUAGGCGAGAAAAAACGGUAAGCGAGGAAAAACGGUCAGCGAAAAUUUGAAAAAACGGUACGCGAGAAAAACGUAAGCGAGGGUGAACAUUUUUGCUAAGUGGGAAGUUUUGGAAUAGGUAGGAAUAAGAUGAGCAGUUGAAUUCUGUCUUAAAAAGGGAAGAAUUGAUUUGUGCAAAAUUUAGCACGCAUUUUAAACGUGACAUUUGAAAGUCCAUGAACGUGCAGACUGACGUGAAUGUCAAACUGGAACGAUGUCAAUGUGAAAUGUCGAAUGUGCCGUUCGGAAUGAGUGGGGAAAAUUUGGCUGGAAAUUUG